UACAGAGGGGGCAAGCGUUAUUCGGAAUUAUUGGGCGUAAAGGGCGCGUAGGCGGUUUUUUAAGUCGGAUGUGCAAUCCCCAGGCUCAACCUGGGAACUGCAUCCGAGACUGGAAGGCUAGAGUACUGGAGAGGGUGGUGGAAUUCCUCGUGUAGCGGUGAUAUGCGUAGAGAUGCGGAGGAACUCCAGUGGCGAAGGCGGCCACCUGGACAGUAACUGACGCUGAGGCGCGAAAGCGUGGGUAGCAUUCAGG
rnacentral:rRNA from 1 species